rnacentral:rRNA from 1 species
UACCAGCUCUCCGAGUGGUGUGGAUGUUUAUUGGGCCUAAAGCAUCCGUAGCUGGCUUGGACAAGUCCCCUGUUAAAUCCACCGAUUUAAUCGUUGGUGUGCGGGGGAUACUGUUCGGCUAGGGGACGGGAGAGGCCGACGGUAUUUCCGGGGUAGGGGUGAAAUCCUAUAAUCCCGGGAAGACCACCAGUGGCGAAGGCUGUCGGCUAGAACGCGCCCGACGGUGAGGGAUGAAAGCUGGGGGGAGCGAACCGGAUUAGAUACCCGGGUAGUCCCAGCUGUAAACGAUGCAGGCUAGGUGUUUGGGCGGCCACGUGCCGCUCUAGUGCCGCAAGGAAGCUGUUAAGCCUGCCGCCUGGGGAGUACGGCCGCAAGGCUGAAACUUAAAGGAAUUGGCGGGGGAGCACCACAAGGGGUGAAGCUUGCGGUUU